GAGCAAGCACUGGGAUAAAAGCUAAUGACAGGCUGCUUAUUUAGAAGGAUCAUAAUACAGAACAGCCAUGUAGGCAACCAAAGAGGAUCCAAGAGACGGAAUAUGAAGGAAAAAGAGGAAGAAAAAGUCACUGUCUGUGCAUUGACAAGAUGUGGAGAAAAGUGUGGAGAAGAAGAAAAUGCUGAGAGAGUAAUUUUGAUCCAAAGGACAAAGGGCGAAAGGAAGGAAAGGAGAAUUUGGUUGGAAAACACAAAGAAUCGAUGGGAGCAGGAAAACUGCAUCAGCAACUCAGCUAGCAAACAAUUGUCAGUAUUAUGGUGAACUGUAUUCUGAAUGGCCAUCUGCCCUCUGGCAGGCUGCAAGUGUUAUGAGCAUAUUGAAGGCAACGCGGUCAAUUUUAUUCUCCCCAGGACCCAAAAGGAAGAGGGAUUCGGAGAUUCACAAGUUCACAGAUUCCCAGGCCAGAAGGUACCAACAGACUGACCUU